rnacentral:misc_RNA from 1 species
GAUGAAGAACGUAGCGAAAUGCGAUACGUAAUGUGAAUUGCAGAAUUCAGUGAAUCAUCGAAUCUUUGAACGCAUAUUGCGCUCUCUGGUAUUCCGGAGAGCAUGCUUGUUUGAGUAUCAGUAAACACCUCAACUCCCUUUCUUCUUGAAAUGGAGCCGGACUUGAGUGAUCCCAACGCUUUAUUCAUAAAGUGGCGGGUUACUUGAAAUGCAGGUGCAGCUGGACUUUUCUCUGAGCUAUAAGCAUAUCUAUUUAGUCUGCCUCAAAACAGAUUAUUACCUUUGCUGCAGCUAACAUAAAGGAGAUUAGUUCUUGUGCUGACUGAUGCAGGAUUCACAAAGACCGCUUCGGCUGUCUUUGUAAACUCGAUCUCAAAUCAAGUAAGACUACCCGCUGAACUUAAGCAUAUCAAUAAGCGGAGGA